rnacentral:rRNA from 1 species
GACGAACGCUGGCGGCGUGCUUAACACAUGCAAGUCGAACGGUAAGGCCCUUCGGGGUACACGAGUGGCGAACGGGUGAGUAACACGUGGGUGAUCUGCCCUGCACUUCGGGAUAAGCCUGGGAAACUGGGUCUAAUACCGGAUAGGACCACUGCCUGCAUGGGUGGUGGUGGAAAGCUUUUGCGGUGCGGGAUGGGCCCGCGGCCUAUCAGCUUGUUGGUGGGGUGAUGGCCUACCAAGGCGACGACGGGUAGCCGGCCUGAGAGGGUAACCGGCCACACUGGGACUGGGAUACGGCCCAGACUCCUACGGGAGGCAGCAGUGGGGAAUAUUGCACAAUGGGCGCAAGCCUGAUGCAGCGACGCCGCGUGAGGGAUGACGGCCUUCGGGUUGUAAACCUCUUUCAGCACCGACGAAGCGCAAGUGACGGUAGGUGCAGAAGAAGGACCGGCCAACUACGUGCCAGCCGCCGCGGUAA